UGAGAUGUAGCUCAGGGGCAGAGCACUUGUCUAACACAUAGGAAGCCCUGGACUCAAUCCUCAGCACCACAA
rfam:Ictidomys tridecemlineatus contig076326, whole genome shotgun sequence.